GUCUCUGUGGCGCAAUGGAUAGCGCAUUGGACUUCUAAUUUAAAGGUUGUGGGUUCGAGUCCCACCAGAGUCG